rnacentral:rRNA from 1 species
UACGUAGGGUGCAAGCGUUAAUCGGAAUUACUGGGCGUAAAGCGUGCGCAGGCGGUUAUGUAAGACAGAUGUGAAAUGCCCGGGCUUAACCUGGGAACUGCAUUUGUGACUGCAUGGCUAGAGUUUGGCAGAGGGGGGUAGAAUUCCACGUGUAGCAGUGAAAUGCGUAGAUAUGUGGAGGAACACCGAUGGGCGAAGGCAG